UAAAUAUAGAAGCUCUUCUAUUUUAGACAUACUGGAGGAAUUGAGCGUGCCAAUAGUCUCAGCCUUGUUUAUACACCCAAGAGAGUGCCAUUGAGGUGAGGAUCCAAAAAUUGCUUUAUAAUUUGGUGUAGUAUAUUAUGGCAAAUUGCAUGAUUGUACAGAUACUGUAGAUAUAUGUAUAUAUAUUGUAAAAACUCCUAGCUGUAUUGUACUGAAUAUAUUAUUCCCUUAGUUAUAGAGUGUAUAAAGCCUGUAAGCAAUUGACUGCAAUCGAUUGGAACUACCACAUCAAUAUUCAAAAUGCAAAAAGUAAGUCUGGUGUGGAAAUGUUGACAAGAAGAUACAACAGAAGGACCAGGCAGUGGGAUGUGAAAAAUGUCAAAGUUGAAAAAGGAUUUGAGUACAUUCCUGUUCUUAUUGCAAAGGUUAUCCAACGGAGACUGCAUGAUGAUGAGUAAUAUAACCCGCCAUGUUUCAUUAAAUGCAAGCGACCCAGGCCACAUUGCUCCCACCGUUGCACAUAUACCACCACCAGCAACAAAG